GACGAACGCUGGCGGCGUGCUUUACACAUGCAAGUCGAACGAUGAAGAGGUGCUUGCAUCUUGGAUUAGUGGCGAACGGGUGAGUAAUACGUGAGUAACCUGCCCCAGACUCUGGGAUAACUUCGGGAAAUCGGAGCUAAUACUGGAUAUGACACAGCCUCGCAUGGGGUUGUGUGUAAAGGAUUCUGGUCUGGGAUGGGCUCGCGGCCUAUCAGCUUGUUGGUGGGGUGAUGGCCUACCAAGGCGAUGACGGGUAGCCGGCCUGAGAGGGUGACCGGCCACACUGGGACUGAGACACGGCCCAGACUCCUACGGGAGGCAGCAGUGGGGAAUAUUGCACAAUGGGCGAAAGCCUGAUGCAGCGACGCCGCGUGAGGGAUGACGGCCUUCGGGUUGUAAACCUCUUUCAGUAGGGAAGAAGCGACUGGGUUUUCUCAGACGUGACGGUACCUGCAGAAGAAGCGCCGGCUAACUACGUG
rnacentral:rRNA from 1 species